CUGAUCAGCUGCUCGCAACAAGCAAAGAAGAUUGCGAAAAUGGGAAAAAUUGUUUUUGCCUUCCCAAAGAAGAGAGCGCGAAAAACCCGUGGCCUCCUCGCCUCACCUCCCCUCCUCUGUGUAUGGAGCGGCGCCCAGCGACUGGAUUCCGCGCCGGGAGACUCACCCUGAACGCGUAUGUCGGUCUGGCUCGGCAGUUUCACGCACGGAAAAUGAAUUUGACGCUGGAGGAAAAACAAGCGCGUCCGAUCGCUUUCACUCUUCCUCAUUCAUAUAAUGCGUGUGUGUGUGUGUGUGUGAAUAUUUUGUGUUACUUUUGGCAAAAGAAUUCGCUGAAUAAUGUCCAACCCUUGUUCAGUCUCCGUGCUGGGCUGGCGACGCGACGCUGCUGUGCCAUUGUCCGGCAGCUAAUUUAUCGGGAUAAUUGCCAAAUGACCAAAUGGGGAGUUUUAUUACAGUUGCCAGAGUGGUGGGAGGAGCAGAAGCAGAGGCAGAAGCAGCACGACUGAUGAGCAAAGCACAAAAAUUUGGCCAGACAACGCGCAACGGAACGCAGCAACCCCAACCAGCCCGCAGAAGGGGACUCAUGUGGCACGUCUAGCCCUAGCUCUGUGUUUCUAUCUCUGUAUCUGUUCAUGUAUUUGUACCCUGCUCAACCUUCGGCUGUUGCUUCUCCCCUUUCUGUGUGUAUUUUUAAUUGUAAUUCAUAAAUUACAUUAUUUACCGACUCAGUGGGUGGGUUGCUUAUUGAUGCCUGCCAUUUGGGGAUACACACACCCACACACCCACACACACACACACUCACAUGAGCUAAGAAAUCGAUAUGCCCACAGAAAUGCUCCUCUCAUAAAUGUCAACUUUUGGGCUGUAAACUGCAAACGAAAUUGAAAUUGAAUUGAAUCUGGCACUUAGCACCGCGUGCCAGUCGGAUUCAAUUUUGCACUGAUUCAAUUUGGAUACUUUUACUUAUUCUUUAUGCAAAAUUAUUGCCGCAACGCAUUGACUUGGAUCAGGGUCGGAUCUUUGUGGGGCUGUUCAACGAGUUGGAAAACGCCCAGGGACUUCAGAGAGUGAGGCCUCUGCGUGUAUGUAAAUUCGCCAAACAAAUCACUCGAGCUCGGGAAAUACCCCUAGGGGAAUCCUUUAGUUAUCCUUUAGCGAUUUUUCAAAUAAACAUGCAACACAUUCCCCAA